rnacentral:rRNA from 1 species
AUGAAGAAGAUCAAGGCGGCGCGCGGGGGAGCGGCGGCCACGGCGCCGACCGACUUGCUCGUCUGCUUCCCCGGCCGGCAGCACCUGGCGCUGAUGCCCAAGUCGAUGUGCAGCCCGUCCAGGGCCACCCUGGACAAGGCGGUGGCCGCGCGCCGGAGGCAGCUGCAGCUCCCGGCCGCGCCGGCCACGCGGUACGGGGGAGGAGGACGUGGUAGUACUAGUAGCCCGCUGUUCCGCGGUUCUAAGGCGAAGGAGACCGUCGGGGACGACGAGCCGCAGUCGCCCAAGGUGACAUGCGCCGGGCAGAUCAAGGUCGGCCGGCCAAAGAAGCCGAGGCCCAUGGUGGAGAAGCACGUCAAGGGCGACGGCGGCAGUGGGGGCAGGUGGGUCACCGUGGCGGAGGAGAUCGAGCGGCUGCAGGAGCGGAGGAAGAAGGCGAGCUGGCUAGAGACCGUCGGGAUCAGGAGGGACGCGCUGCCCUUCCUCGGCGGCGCGCUCUGGAGCCUUCGGCACAAGGUGAGGUGCUUCGGGUCGUCGCUCCCCGCCGCGGUGGACUCUUCGACGGACGACGACAAUGACGUGGAGGAGCGCGAGCGCAAAUCCGCCGCCGCGAGCGUGUUCUCCAAGUGGCUCAUGGUGCUGGAAAGGAGCCAUGAACCCCACGAGCAAGACGACAACGACGACGAGCUAGACCAAGAAGACGGGCGGCCGAGCAAUGAGGCGGGAGACGACUGCUCCAAAGCGACGUCCGUGCCUCCGCCGUCGAACGCGCUGCUCCUAAUGCGGUGCCGGUCGGCGCCGGCGAAGGGGUUGGCGAGGAAAGGAGCAGAACCGGCCGGCGAGGAGGCCACGCAGGAGAAGGGGGGCAUGGAGGAGAAGAGGGACGAGCUGGUGUUCAUGAGAACGGCGCCAGACUUCCUGAAGCUGUCCAUCGACAUCGCCAAGGAGACGUGGGUCGUCGGCGGCGUGGACCCCCUCGCGAGAAGCCGGAGCUGGAAAAGGUGA